rnacentral:rRNA from 1 species
CUUCUCUGAUUUAGCGGCGGCCGGGUGAGUAACACGUGGGCAACCUGCCCUACAGAUCGGGAUAACUCAGGGAAACCUGGGCUAAUACCGGAUAAUCCUUCGAAUCACAUGUUUUGAAGUUGAAAGGCGCUUCGGCGUCACUGUAGGAUGGGCCCGCGGUGCAUUAGCUAGUUGGUGGGGUAACGGCCUACCAAGGCAACGAUGCAUAGCCGACCUGAGAGGGUGAUCGGCCACAUUGGGACUGAGACACGGCCCAAACUCCUACGGGAGGCAGCAGUAGGGAAUCUUCCACAAUGGACGAAAGUCUGAUGGAGCAACGCCGCGUGAGUGAUGAAGGUUUUCGGAUCGUAAAACUCUGUUGUAAGGGAAGAACAAGUACGUUAGGAAAUGAACGUACCUUGACGGUACCUUAUUAGAAAGCCACGGCUAACUACGUGCCAGCAGCCGCGGUAAUACGUAGGUGGCAAGCGUUGUCCGGAUUUAUUGGGCGUAAAGCGCGCGCAGGUGGUUUCUUAAGUCUGAUGUGAAAGCCCACGGCUCAACCGUGGAGGGUCAUUGGAAACUGGGGAACUUGAGUGCAGAAGAGGAUAGUGGAAUUCCAAGUGUAGCGGUGAAAUGCGUAGAGAUUUGGAGGAACACCAGUGGCGAAGGCGACUGUCUGGUCUGUAACUGACACUGAGGCGCGAAAGCGUGGGGAGCAAACAGGAUUAGAUACCCUGGUAGUCCCCGCCGUAAACGAUGAGUGCUAAGUGUU